UUCGAUCUGGCUCAGAUUGAACGCGUGGCGGGAUGCUUUACAUACGAUCGACGACACUUGAACUUCAGAUCGGUGGCAGUGGCGAACAGGUGAGUAAUAUCGGAACGUGCCUAGUAACCCAGGGGAUAACCAUGAAGAAGCGUAGCUAAUACCACACUUGCUAUACGCCCUUCGGGGAAAGCGGGGGACCUUCGGGCCUCGCACUAUUAGAGCGGCCGAUAUCGGAUUAGCUGGUUGAAUUUAAGGGUAACGGCUCACCGAGCGACGAUCAAUGGCGCUGGACUUUGAGAGGACGACAAUACUGGGACUGAGACACGGCCCGAGCUCUACGGGAGGCAGCAGUGGGGAAUUUUGGACAAUGGGAAACCUGAUCCGAGCUGUCCCGUGUGCGAUGAAGGCCUUCGGAGUUUGUAAAGCACUUUUGGCAGGAAAGAAGCUGCAACUGACGGUACCUGCAGUCGCUCGUUUGGCUCACAUUACGUGACCGCGGUAAUACGUAGGUGCAAGCGUUAAUCAGAUACUGGGCGUAAAGCGUGCGCAGGCGGUUCGGAAGAAAGAUGUUAUGAAAUCCCAGAGCUUAACUUUGGAACUGCAUUUUUAACUACCGAGCUAGAGUGUGUCAGAGGGAGGUGGAAUUCCGCGUGUAGCAGUGAAAUGCGUAGAUGUGCAGGAGGCUUCAAUUAUGAUAUCCUGGGAUAACACUGACGCUCAUGCACGAAAGCGUGGGGAGCAGUGCCGGUUAGAUACCCUGGUAGUCACGCCCUAAACGAUGUCAACUAGCUGUUGGGGCCUUUCGGGCCUUGGUAGCGCAGCUAACGCGUGAAGUUGACCGCCUAGGGGAGUACGGUCGCUGAAUUAAAACUCAGGAUGACGGGGACCCGCACAAGCGGUGGAUGAUGUGGAUUAAUUCGAUGCAACGCGAAAAACCUUACCUACCCUUGACAUAUGUCUGGAAUCCCACGAGAUUUGGGGUACUCGCAAGAGAACCGGAACACAGGUGCUGCAUGGCUGUCGUCAGCUCGUGUCGUGAGAUGUUGGGUUAAGUCCCGCAACGAAGCAACCUUAUAUUAGUUGCUACGAAAGGGCACUCUAAUGGAAUUCUGGUGACAAACCGGAGGAAGGUGGGAUGACGUCAAGUCCUCAUGGCCCUUAUGGGUAGGGCUUCUACACGUCAUACAAUGGUCGGGACAGAGGGUCGCCUUGCGAGGAGCCAAUCUCCCAGAAGCCGAUCGUAGUCCGGAUCGCAGUCUGCAACUCGACCGUGAAGUCGGAAUCGCUAGUAAUCAUGAAUCGGCAUGUCGCGGUGAAUACGUUCCCGGGUCUUGUACACACCGCCCGUCACACCAUUGGGAAUUGGACGCUUCCUGGAAAAUGGUCCGUAACCGUAAGGAGGGCGAUUACCACAGUAGGAUUCUUGACUGGGGGCAGUCGUAACAAGGUAG
rnacentral:rRNA from 1 species